UGGGGAAUCUUGCGCAAUGGGGGAAACCCUGACGCAGCCACGCCGCGUGGAGGAAGACACCCCUAUGGGGCGUAAACUCCUUUUCUGCCGGAAGAAAACCCUGGUCUCCAGGGCAUGACGGUACGGUAGGAAUAAGCACCGGCUAACUCCGUGCCAGCAGCCGCGGUAAUACGGAGGGUGCAAGCGUUGUCCGGAAUCACUGGGCGUAAAGGGUGUGCAGGCGGGGUAGCAAGUCAGCGGUGAAAUCCUACGGCUCAACCGUAGGCGUGCCGUUGAAACUGUUACUCUUGAGUCCUAGAGAGGUCGCUGGAAUUCGUGGUGUAGCGGUGAAAUGCGUAGAUAUCACGAGGAACACCAGAGGCGUAAGCGAGCGACUAGAUAGGUACUGACGCUGAGGCACGAAAGCGUGGGGAGCAAACAGGAUUAGAUACCCCCGUAGUCC
rnacentral:rRNA from 1 species